GGAUUAGAUACCCGGGUAGUCCACGCCGUAAACGAUGUCGACUUGGAGGCUGUGCCCUUGAGGCGUGGCUUCCGGAGCUAACGCGUUAAGUCGACCGCCUGGGGAGUACGGCCGCAAGGUUAAAACUCAAAUGAAUUGACGGGGGCCCGCACAAGCGGUGGAGCAUGUGGUUUAAUUCGAUGCAACGCGAAGAACCUUACCUACUCUUGACAUCCAGAGAACUCGCCAGAGAUGGCUUGGUGCCUUCGGGAACUCUGAGACAGGUGCUGCAUGGCUGUCGUCAGCUCGUGUUGUGAAAUGUUGGGUUAAGUCCCGCAACGAGCGCAACUCUUAUCCUUUGUUGCCAGCGAGUAAUGUCGGGAACUCAAAGGAGACUGCCAGUGAUAAACUGG
rnacentral:rRNA from 1 species